CAUAUACACCGUUUAUUCACUGUUAAUUUACAGUUUAGAUACUGUAUAAUAAUAGUAUAAUCACAGUUUAUCAACCGUUUAUUAACCGUUUACGAAUGGAACAAGUAAAUGGCAAGUAAACGGUUUAUAAACGGUGCUUAAACGGUGUUAUCACGGAUACUGUUUAUAAACGGUAAAUAAACGGUUCGCUCGAGGUUGCAAGGAUACCAGUAAGCGGAUUGUUUCCAAGACGAAAGACCGAAUCCUCUUGAUGAAAAUGAAGAUCCUACUUAUCUCGAUAUUCCUGGCUAUGUUAAGCGCUCCUGUAAAAUCAAGUAUACAAGACAAUGAGGUCGGUCUGCCCGUCAAUUAUGCAAAUAAUGAUCUCGUUAACUACGAUUUUGAUAAGCCAAAAGAAAGCAAUCUGAUCGUGAAUUUUGACACUCCCUACAAGUCCAUCUAACACAGCGUACGCCGAAUGUGGUCCAACGUAAUCACAAAUAACUCAUACUCUAAUUACAUAGAAAAUUUAACUUCCGCAGAGCUGAGACUUUUCCACGGGCCUUGGUUCAUUAAAAGUAAAUACCAAAGCUUGCCGCACAACCUCACUAUUUAUAGGUACAAAAAUGGGAAUCGUAAUUACGUAAACUCCGUAAUCGUUGAGGCUGAUCACUAAGGAUGGAUCGUGAUUAAUAUCGCCAGUCUCGUUCAAUGGUGGAUUAAUCAUCCUGAGAAAAUUGAGGACGUACUGUGCAGGACCAGUCCGAUGAGGAAAGACGGCGUGAUUGCAUGGUCCAUGCUAGGCGAUAACGAAGGCUUUUACUCAAUUGGAGAAUUUGCUGUUGGCUAUAACAACAUCUUGAAUACGAUGAACUUCCGGAGCAAUUUCAAGUACAAGAAAAAUUUUCCGCCAGGAUUUGACGCGUUUAAAAAUCCAGAUUUUUGUGAGAUAGCUUGCCGAUCAAAUAACAUUUUUAACAACUUCAAAACAAUCGGGCCUAAAGGAAUGGAUCAUCUCUACAGAUGGAGUCUGCUGUAGAAUAUUUAUUGUGGUCCGAUGAAAAUAAAAUUAUUUGGAAGAUAAUUUAAAAUUUUCGAGCUUCUGCCUGCGGGUGUCAAUAAUUUUGACACUUACAAUUUUUGUGCACCGUGUUUUAUUUUAUUGAUCUCCAUUGAAGGCUGUAAUUAUUUAUAAGAUUUAGGGGUUUUCUUAGUAUGUUUUUUGUGAACGUAAUAAUUUUUGAUGCUAGUAUUAAAUUCUGUAAUUUGAAUCUUGGUAGGUUUAUUUAAUCUAUAUUAUUAAGAGAAUAAAAUUGGUUCUUUUAGUGAAA